GGCUCAGAACGAACGCUGGCGGCGUGCCUAACACAUGCAAGUCGAACGGAAUUGAGGGGCUUGCUCUUCAAUUUAGUGGCGCACGGGUGAGUAACGCGUAGAUAAUCUGCCUGAUGAUCUGGGAUAACACUUCGAAAGAGGUGCUAAUACCGGAUAAGCCCACGGAGUCUUUGGAUUCUGCGGGAAAAGGGGGGGACCUUCGGGCCUUCUGUCAUCAGAUGAGUCUGCGUACCAUUAGCUAGUUGGUAGGGUAAUGGCCUACCAAGGCUACGAUGGUUAGCUGGUCUGAGAGGAUGAUCAGCCACACUGGAACUGAGACACGGUCCAGACUCCUACGGGAGGUAGCAGUGGGGAAUUUUGCGCAAUGGGCGAAAGCCUGACGCAGCAACGCCGCGUGAGUGAUGAAGGCUUUCGGGUCGUAAAGCUCUGUCGAGGGGAAAGAAGUGUAUUGUGGUUAAUACCCGCGAUACUUGACGGUACCCCUAAAGGAAGCACCGGCUAACUCCGUGCCAGCAGCCGCGGUAAUACGGGGGGUGCAAGCGUUGUUCGGAAUUAUUGGGCGUAAAGCGCGUGUAGGCGGUCUGAUUAGUCUGAUGUGAAAGCCCUGGGCUCAACCCAGGAAGUGCAUUGGAUACUGUCAGACUUGAAUACGGGAGAGGGUAGUGGAAUUCCUAGUGUAGGAGUGAAAUCCGUAGAUAUUAGGAGGAACACCGGUGGCGAAGGCGGCUACCUGGACCGAUAUUGACGCUGAGACGCGAAAGCGUGGGUAGCAAACAGGAUUAGAUACCCUGGUAGUCCACGCCGUAAACGAUGAGUACUAGGUGUUGCGGGUAUUGACCCCUGCAGUGCCGCAGCUAACGCAUUAAGUACUCCGCCUGGGAAGUACGGUCGC
rnacentral:rRNA from 1 species